GACGAGGGGUCCAAGCGUUGCUCGGAAUUAUUGGGCGUAAAGCGCGUGUAGGCGGCUUUGCAAGUCGGGUGUGAAAGCCCUCAGCUUAACUGAGGAAGUGCGCCCGAAACUGCAGAGCUUGAGUACCGGAGAGGAUGGUGGAAUUCCCCAAGUAGAGGUGAAAUUCGUAGAUAUGGGGGGGAACACCGGUGGCGAAGGCGACCAUCUGGACGGAUACUGACGCUGAGACGCGAAAGCGUGGGUAGCAAACAGG
rnacentral:rRNA from 1 species